rnacentral:rRNA from 1 species
UACAGAGACUGCAAGCGUUAUUCGGAUUCACUGGGCGUAAAGGGUGCGCAGGCGGUUGGGUGUGUCAGAUGUGAAAUCCCGAGGCUUAACCUCGGAACUGCGUCUGAAACUACUCGACUAGAGUACUGGAGAGGGAAACGGAAUUCACGGUGUAGCAGUGAAAUGACGUAGAUAUCGUGAGGAACACCAGAGGCGAAGGCGGUUUCCUGGACAGUUACUG